UCUCACUUCAACAAUCUCCCUCUCAUCUCUCUCAAGCCCCAAACCCCAGCCGCCCACAUACCCUAAACCACCUCCACCACCCUAAACCACCCCAAACCUUUACCCCACAAUCCCCACCUCCUCCUCAUCCCAUAUCCUCUCUUAAUUUCCUCCAAAACACCCUAGAAUUGCCCGAUUUUCAAAUCUAAAAAUGGUCAUUAACUAGCCAAAGUCCCCAAACCGGUCUUCUAGCUUUUCUUUAAAUCAAACCUUUAAUUCCUCAUGGAUUUCUGACUUGCGAGGUAUUUGCCGGACUAAGCAUCUGAAAAAUACUUGUUGGCCAGAAAUGCUUGGCGAUUUGAAGAAGCAGAUUCGAGCACCUUCUUAUCUCCAUUUCUUGUUUGUUGUUGACCGUCCUCUCCUCUUUUGGCAUGACUGGUUCCAGUAGGUAAUUUUUCUUCUUUUCUUUUCAUCUUCUUUUUUUUUCUCCGUGUUUUUUUCUUUCAACCAAACAACCUUUCUGUUCUUUCUUGAAUUCCUCUUCAGUUUGUUUGCCCUAAUGAUUAAGAGGCUUAAUUAUUCAUUAGUUUAAAACAUAUAACAAUUAGUUUAUCGAUUUUAGUUUACUUGCUAAAUUAGGCAUUCGUCUUGAUUUGUUUUUAGUUUUGCAUGAUUUACUUGCCAUUUAAUUGCAUGAUUGAUUUUUUAGUUUAAUUGCAUGUUCAGUUUAAUUGAUUCAACCUUAAUUAGUUCAGUAAUCUAGUUUGGGUGAAUUAGUCGAUUAUUUCUGUUUCAUUAUGAUCUGUGAUAGCUUGGUUGCCAAUUGGAAUUAAAGGGGUUGAAAGAGUAAUAUUGAAAACUUUAAAGGGUUAAUUGGAUGCCAAAUCAGAGAAACAAAGGCUAGAAUGGCCUAAAUGGUUCUAGGAAGUUCUAGAAGGGGUUAAUGGGUAAUCAAACAAUCAGAAUUUAGGUCAGAUUAGUUAAAAUUGUAAUAAGCAGAAUUUAAAAGGGGUAAAAUUGGGAGUUUAAAAUGAGAAAAUAUCAGAAUGUUCUAGUAUAGGACAACUGCCCCAUUCUUAGCAUGUAAAUACUGAAAUUGAGUGGGAAAAAGGACAUACAGCAGUCAAAAAAUACUGUACUAUGUGAUAUUUCAGAAAUUAGGGUAGAAUAUUUUAUUUUUUAUGCUAUCUUUGUGCAUUCUAUAUAAAGAAUAAGCAUUCACUCAUUCUAGGGGAGGGAUAAGAAUAUUCAUUCUAAGAGGCAGCCCUAAACCCUAGUUUUUAAUUCUCUCUUUAGUUCUUCCUUUAACCAUAUAUAGAAACAGAAAACAAAUAAAAAAGAGAAAAAGUUCUUAAGGCUGUUUGAUUUUCCUCCAUUUCUCUACUGUUUUACUUCGUCAUGUUGGGAUUUUGUGUCUAAUUCCGGAUUCUUGCUUCAUGCUGGUUGUUGUUGCUAUUUUUUCUGCUACUCAUUACUAGAGAUUUAUUUUCUUUUCUGGUCCAUUUUGCUGUAAUCAGGUAUUCACCUUAAAUCUAAGAUUCAGUUUUUGUAUGAAUAAGUUGAUUGCUUUAUUGGUUCUAUGAAGUCUUGAUCCUCCCUCAUCAUGUGUUGAUUUCCUUACAUUUAGCAUGUUAAUUAGUAAAUCUUGGCUCAUUUAAACUCAUGAGUGUUUCUUCUGUUAUUCGAUGUUUUGACAUGAAAAGAGCAAGAAUCCAUUACUCUACUAUGUGAUUAUUUGAAUUGGUGUGUUUAUUUUGCAACUAUUAGUCUAUUUCUGAGUUAAAAUGUCAUGUUGUGAACCAAUUGAUUAUAAGAUGGGAGCUAAUUGAGUUUGUUUAACUCUAAACAUUAGUUUAAGUAGAUGUUAAUAGUAUCUGGAGCAUGUAAAUAACAGUUAUUAUUUUUUUUGAGUAUAAAUACUGUUUCAGCCUUGCUUUAGACCAUGCAAAAUCAGUUCAAAGUUGUUACUAUAGAGUUGGUUUAUGUGGAUUUUUAUCUUAAGUUUUGGAACGAAAAGAGAUGGUUUUUGUUACUGGAUACAUGACUCUGGUUUGCUGAUCUGACCACCAGUUGGGUCAGAUUGGUGAAUUCUAAAGCUGAACGAAUGGAUUCAAAGUCAUCUAUGGAGGGAGAUUAAGCAGAAGGCUUACUAUUUGAUCAUAUUUUGUUCAUAUAAUGAAUCAGCCAUGUAUGUAUUGAAAGUUAUAUUUGAUACUACUAUUGAGGACUAUAUUGUAAAUUAUCAGAUCUGUAAAUAUUAGAAUAUAUUCAGUUUGUUGUGUCAACUAAAAGGGACCAGUUACCCAUUUUCAUUGAUUUUUAGCGAUUUUGAAUCUGGAAGUUUGAAUGGGUUACUACCAAUUUUGUUUUCCCUAGAGCUCUAUUGUUUUGGUCCAUCGAUUAGUUCAAAGAGUAUGCCAUUGUUAAUUAGCUUAAGAACUUAAAUAUUUAUUGAUUUCACAUAUUCUAAUAAGUUAUCCGAAUAUUUAUAUAUGCUGUCGUUACUGAGCUGGUAAUUUUU
rnacentral:lncRNA from 1 species